GAUGAACGCUGGCGGCGUGCCUAGUACAUGCAAGUCGAGCGAACGGACGAGAAGCUUGCUUCUCUGAUGUUAGCGGCGGACGGGUGAGUAACACGUGGAUAACCUACCUAUAAGACUGGGAUAACUUCGGGAAACCGGAGCUAAUACCGGAUAAUAUUUUGAACCGCAUGGUUCAAAAGUGAAAGACGGUCUUGCUGUCACUUAUAGAUGGAUCCGCGCUGCAUUAGCUAGUAGGUAAGGUAACGGCUUACCAAGGCAACGAUGCAUAGCCGACCUGAGAGGGUGAUCGGCCACACUGGAACUGAGACACGGUCCAGACUCCUACGGGAGGCAGCAGUAGGGAAUCUUCCGCAAUGGGCGAAAGCCUGACGGAGCAACGCCGCGUGAGUGAUGAAGGUCUUCGGAUCGUAAAACUCUGUUAUUAGGGAAGAACAUAUGUGUAAGUAACUGUGCACAUCUUGACGGUACCUAAUCAGAAAGCCACGGCUAACUACGUG
rnacentral:rRNA from 1 species